rnacentral:rRNA from 1 species
CGGCUAACUCCGUGCCAGCAGCCGCGGUAAUACGGAGGGUGCGAGCGUUAAUCGGAAUUACUGGGCGUAAAGCGCAUGCAGGUGGUUUGUUAAGUCAGAUGUGAAAGCCCGGGGCUCAACCUCGGAAUUGCAUUUGAAACUGGCAGACUAGAGUACUGUAGAGGGGGGUAGAAUUUCAGGUGUAGCGGUGAAAUGCGUAGAGAUCUGAAGGAAUACCGGUGGCGAAGGCGGCCCCCUGGACAGAUACUGACACUCAGAUGCGAAAGCGUGGGGAGCAAACAGGAUUAGAUACCCUGGUAGUCCACGCCGUAAACGAUGUCUACUUGGAGGUUGUGGCCUUGAGCCGUGGCUUUCGGAGCUAACGCGUUAAGUAGACCGCCUGGGGAGUACGGUCGCAAGAUUAAAACUCAAAUGAAUUGACGGGGGCCCGCACAAGCGGUGGAGCAUGUGGUUUAAUUCGAUGCAACGCGAAGAACCUUACCUACUCUUGACAUCCAGAGAACUUUCCAGAGAUGGAUUGGUGCCUUCGGGAACUUUGAGACAGGUGCUGCAUGGCUGUCGUCAGCUCGUGUUGUGAAAUGUUGGGUUAAGUCCCGCAACGAGCGCAACCCUUAUCCUUGUUUGCCAGCGAGUAAUGUCGGGAACUCCAGGGAGACUGCCGGUGAUAAACCGGAGGAAGGUGGGGACGACGUCAAGUCUA